rnacentral:tRNA from 1 species
GUACUGGUGGUUCAGUGGUAGAAUUCUCACCUCCUGUGUGGGAGACCCAGGUUCAAUUCCUGGCCAAUGUA